UUGCUGGAAUUUAUGGUAGCG
rnacentral:siRNA from 1 species